rnacentral:rRNA from 1 species
UACGGAGGGAGCUAGCGUUGUUCGGAAUUACUGGGCGUAAAGCGCACGUAGGCGGCUAUUCAAGUCGGGGGUGAAAGCCCGGGGCUCAACCCCGGAACUGCCCUCGAAACUAGGUAGCUAGAAUCUUGGAGAGGCGAGUGGAAUUCCGAGUGUAGAGGUGAAAUUCGUAGAUAUUCGGAAGAACACCAGUGGCGAAGGCGACUCACUGGUCCGGUACUGACGCUGAGGUGCGAAAGCGUGGGGAGCAAACAGG